rnacentral:rRNA from 1 species
AGAGUUUGAUCAUGGCUCAGAUUGAACGCUGGCGGCAUGCCUUACACAUGCAAGUCGAACGGUAACGCGGGGCAACCUGGCGACGAGUGGCGAACGGGUGAGUAAUGUAUCGGAACGUGCCCAGUAGUGGGGGGAUAGCCCGGCGAAAGCCGGAUUAAUACCGCAUACGACCUACGGGUGAAAGAGGGGGAUCGCAAGACCUCUCGCUAUUGGAGCGGCCGAUAUCAGAUUAGGUAGUUGGUGGGGUAAAGGCCUACCAAGCCGACGAUCUGUAGCUGGUCUGAGAGGACGACCAGCCACACUGGGACUGAGACACGGCCCAGACUCCUACGGGAGGCAGCAGUGGGGAAUUUUGGACAAUGGGCGCAAGCCUGAUCCAGCCAUGCCGCGUGCGGGAAGAAGGCCUUCGGGUUGUAAACCGCUUUUGUCAGGGAAGAAAUCUUUCGGGUUAAUACCCUGGAGGGAUGACGGUACCUGAAGAAUAAGCACCGGCUAACUACGUGCCAGCAGCCGCGGUAAUACGUAGGGUGCAAGCGUUAAUCGGAAUUACUGGGCGUAAAGCGUGCGCAGGCGGUUGUGUAAGACAGAUGUGAAAUCCCCGGGCUCAACCUGGGAACUGCAUUUGUGACUGCACAGCUGGAGUGCGGCAGAGGGGGAUGGAAUUCCGCGUGUAGCAGUGAAAUGCGUAGAUAUGCGGAGGAACACCGAUGGCGAAGGCAAUCCCCUGGGCCUGCACUGACGCUCAUGCACGAAAGCGUGGGGAGCAAACAGGAUUAGAUACCCUAGUAGUCC